rnacentral:rRNA from 1 species
AGUGAACGCUGGCGGUAGGCCUAACACAUGCAAGUCGAACGGCAGCACAGUAAGAGCUUGCUCUUACGGGUGGCGAGUGGCGGACGGGUGAGGAAUACAUCGGAAUCUACUUUUUCGUGGGGGAUAACGUAGGGAAACUUACGCUAAUACCGCAUACGACCUACGGGUGAAAGCAGGGGAUCUUCGGACCUUGCGCGAUUGAAUGAGCCGAUGUCGGAUUAGCUAGUUGGCGGGGUAAAGGCCCACCAAGGCGACGAUCCGUAGCUGGUCUGAGAGGAUGAGCGGCCAAACGGGGACGGAGAGAAGGCACCGGGUCGGGUGGGAGGCAGGGGUGGGGAGUAUGAAACGAUCGGCGAAAGCGUGAUGCAGCGAGGACGCGUGAGGGAUGACGUUCUGAGGGUAGUAAAAGUCUACCAGCAGGUAAGAAGCGCAACAGAAGGUCCCUGAAGAAUAAACACCGGCUACCCACGUC